rnacentral:tRNA from 1 species
AUUUAAGUAGUUUAAUAAAAAUAUUGAUUUGUGGUAUCAAUGAUAUAAUCAAAUUAUCUUAAAUU